AUUGAACGCUGGCGGCAGGCCUAACACAUGCAAGUCGAGCGGAUGAAGGGAGCUUGCUCCUGGAUUCAGCGGCGGACGGGUGAGUAAUGCCUAGGAAUCUGCCUGGUAGUGGGGGAUAACGUCGGGAAACGGGCGCUAAUACCGCAUACGUCCUGAGGGUGAAAGUGGGGGAUCGUCGGACCUCACGCUAUCAGAUGAGCCUAGGUCGGAUUAGCUAGUUGGUGGGGUAAAGGCCUACCAAGGCGACGAUCCGUAACUGGUCUGAGAGGAUGAUCAGUCACACUGGAACUGAGACACGGUCCAGACUCCUACGGGAGGCAGCAGUGGGGAAUAUUGGACAAUGGGCGAAAGCCUGAUCCAGCCAUGCCGCGUGUGUGAAGAAGGUCUUCGGAUUGUAAAGCGCUUUAAGUUGGGAAGAAGGGCAGUAAGUUAAUACCUUGCUGUUUUGACGUUACCAACAGAAUAAGCACCGGCUAACUUCGUG
rnacentral:rRNA from 1 species